rnacentral:rRNA from 1 species
CUGAGAGGAUGAGCAGCCACCACUGGACUGAGACACGGCCCAGACUCUACGGGAGGCAGCAGUGGGGAUUUCGCAAUGGCGAAAGCCUGACGGAGCAACGCGCGUGUGGGAGAAGGCUCUUGGGCUGUCAACCACUUUCUCAGGGAAGAAUUACUGACGGUACCUGAGGAAUCAGCCUCGGCUAACUCCGUGCCAGCAGCCGCGGUAAUACGGAGGAGGCAAGCGUUAUCCGGAAUUAUUGGGCGUAAAGCGUCCGCAGGGGGCGCAUCAAGUCUGCUGUUAAAGGCCCGAGCUUAACUCCGGUAGAGCAGUGGAAACUGGUGCGCUAGAGGGCGACAGGGGUAGAGGGAAUUCCCAGUGUAGCGGUGAAAUGCGUAGAGAUUGGGAAGAACACCGGUGGCGAAAGCGCUCUACUGGGUCGCACCUGACCCUCAGGGACGAAAGCUAAGGUAGCGAAAGGGAUUAGAUACCCCUGUAGUCUUAGCCGUAAACGAUGGAUACUAGGCGUGGCUUGUAUCGACCCAAGCCGUGCCGAAGCUAACGCGUUAAGUAUCCCGCCUGGGGAGUACGCACGCAAGUGUGAAACUCAAAGGAAUUGACGGGGGCCCGCACAAGCGGUGGAGGAUGUGGUUUAAUUCGAUGCAACGCGAAGAACCUUACCAGGGCUUGACAGACCGCGAAUCUUCCGGAAAGGGAAGAGUGCCUUCGGGAGCGCGGACACAGGUGGUGCAUGGCUGUCGUCAGCUCGUGUCGUGAGAUGUUGGGUUAAGUCCCGCAACGAGCGCAACCCUCGUCCUUAGUUGCCAGCAUUAAGUUGGGCACUCUAGGGAGACUGCCGGUGACAAACCGGAGGAAGGUGAGGAUGACGUCAAGUCAGCAUGCCCCUUAUGCUCUGGGCUACACACGUCCUACAAUGGUCGGGACAAAGGGGAGCGAGCUCGCGAGAGUCAGCGAAUCCCAUCAAACCCGACCUCAGUUCAGAUUGCAGGCUGCAACUCGCCUGCAUGAAGGAGGAAUCGCUAGUAAUCGCAGGUCAGCAUACUGCGGUGAAUUCGUUCCCGGGCCUUGUACACACCGCCCGUCACACCAUGGAAGCUGGCCAAGCCCGAAGUCGUUACCCUAACCUUU